ensembl:snRNA U2 U2 spliceosomal RNA
AUCGCUUUUUGGCCUUUUGGACUAAGAUUAAGUGUGGUAUCUGUUCUCACCAGUUUAAUAUCUGAUAUGUCCUCUGUCUGAAGACAGUAUAUUAAAUUUCUAAAUAGGUUGAAAAUAUGUACUGCUUCAGUCCAUCCAUCUUUUUUUUUCCCUUGAGGAUUCAGACUGGCUCUCCUGCUUCUGUUUUCUGUAGAGGAAAAACAUAUU